GAGGUCAGUGAUGAGCGAAAAUCACCAUCGUUCAUUUGAGUCUCACGACCGUGAGAUCAACCUCGCGCACUGCUCUAAGACCUG